rnacentral:rRNA from 1 species
GGAAGGAUCAUUAAAGAGUAAGGGUGCUCAGCGCCCGACCUCCAACCCUUUGUUGUUAAAACUACCUUGUUGCUUUGGCGGGACCGCUCGGUUCCGAGCCGCUGGGGAUUCGUCCCAGGCGAGUGCCCGCCAGAGUUAAACCAAACUCUUGUUAUUAAACCGGUCGUCUGAGUUAAAAUUUUGAAUAAAUCAAAACUUUCAACAACGGAUCUCUUGGUUCUCGCAUCGAUGAAGAACGCAGCGAAAUGCGAUAAGUAAUGUGAAUUGCAGAAUUCAGUGAAUCAUCGAAUCUUUGAACGCACAUUGCGCCCCUUGGUAUUCCGAGGGGCAUGCCUGUUCGAGCGUCAUUACACCACUCAAGCUAUGCUUGGUAUUGGGUGCCGUCCUUAGUUGGGCGCGCCUUAAAGACCUCGGCGAGGCCUCACCGGCUUUAGGCGUAGUAGAAUUUAUUCGAACGUCUGUCAAAGGAGAGGACUUCUGCCGACUGAAACCUUUUAUUUUUCUAGGUUGACCUCGGAUCAGGUAGGGAUACCCGCUGAACUUAA